UACGGGGGGGGUAAGCGUUGUUCGGAAUUACUGGGCGUAAAGGGCUCGUAGGCGGCCAACUAAGUCAGACGUGAAAUCCCUCGGCUCAACCGAGGAAGUGCAUUCGAAACUGGGGGGCUUGAAUACUGGAGAGGAUGGCGGAAUUCCCGGUGUAGAGGUGAAAUUCGUAGAUAUCGGGAGGAACGCCAGUGGCGAAGGCGACUACCUGGCCUGUUCUUGACGCUGAGGCGCGAAAGCUAGGGGAGCAAACGGG
rnacentral:rRNA from 1 species